rnacentral:lncRNA from 1 species
GAAAAUGUCUCUUUGUUUUUUGGUAAUUAAAAAUUUUCAUUAAUACCAAAGUGCGUCCAUUACAUAACCAGGCAAAGAGCUGACCUCUUGCCUCUUAAAACAUACGAAAAAGAAAAACCAGCUAUACUCUAACUAUUACAUAUUCAGUUUCUUUUCAUGACACUAGCAGUACUUAUGGAAAGUUCAAUUGUUGAAGUUGAUUCUGCCAGUGAGCAUUUCCCCUGCCAGUGGUGUGCAUAUAUAGUGCGAUUUUCCUGCAUAAUUUAUCUGCAUUGUAGUGUCUGGCUUGAAAACUCAUUUUAUUUCUAGAUAAUAUUAACCAUCAUACCAAAUACACAGCUAAUGAUUGGUUCUUUUUUUGUCUUAUUUUUUGCCCAUACGUUUGCCCACAAUACUUUCUCUUGCCAGUAUCUAAUUGUCCUUUGGAUUUUCAGCCAUUACAGUAAUCUUUGCCAUAGAUUCUUGGUUACUAAGCAUUCAAAUAGUAAAUGGUCUAAAGUUUCUGUGGUUGAGUCACAAUAUAUACAACUUUGAGGCACAUGAAUGCCAAAUUUUAGCAGUCUAUCUACAGUUCCUAGUCUCCUCCUUAUAGCCAGCCAUAGGAUAAAUUUGUGUUGGGGGUGAAGUUGUUAUUGAAGAAUUAUGCUUUUCCAUGAUAUCUUUUGGUACUGAGGUAGCAUCUUGUGUACAACUUCUUGAUACUCAGCUUGCCUUCAAUUACCACAGUUUGAAGUCUAGUCUUCAGACCUCCCUGCAGAGUUGGACAUUGCUUAAUAUAAUCCCUUGAUGCUAUGAUUUUUCGGAUGACCCAUGUUGCAUUUGCUAGGAUAUUACAUGUCUCUACUGCCUCACUCUUCAAGUAAUAUUCUUGGAUUCAUUUAACCUAGAGGCAGUCCUUCCUCUUACUAAUUGCCCAUAAUAGUUUUAAUAUUGCUGCCUUGUUCCACAAUCUCACAUUUUGCAAAUUUAAUCCUCCUACUGCUGUAGGCAUACACAAUUUGUCCCAAGAUAUUAGAGACUUUCUAGAUGUCUCUGUAGAACCUGUCCAUAAGAAAGUUCUACUAAUAGCUUCUAUUAUUUUUAAAAUCUUCUUGGGUAGAAUAAAAAUUUGUGCCCAAUAGGUUUGUUUGCUGAAAAUAACUGCCUUGACCAACUUUAGUCUACCUGCAUAUGAUAACAAUUUGGUAGACCAACAUCUGAUUCUCUCUGUAAUCUUAGGGGUAGACAUUGGCUCACUAUGAGUUUUUUUUUUAAGAGAGAGGGACCCCCAGGUAUUUGAAUGGGAUUUCUCCUUCCUUGUAUCCAAGUACCUGAAGAAGUUCAUGCUUUAUCUGAUAUUUCAUACCUCCAUAUACAAGGAUCUUUUCUCUGAUUUUUCUUGAAGGCCUAAUGCUGUUGAGAAUCUUGCAAGUGCCUCUUGCAACAGGUGAAUUGACUUUACUUCAGCCUUGCUGAACAUUAGCAAAUCAUCCGCAAAACUGAUUUGAACCACACCCAUCUUUUUACAUCUGGGAUUGCAAUGACAAAUAGGUAAGGGGACAUAGGGUCCCCUUGCUUUAUGCCCUUUUUCCCUGUAAUGGCUUUGACAAGCAACCAUUGAUUACAAGGGAAUAGGAAACAGAUGUCACACAUUCUAUGAUCCAUGUUAUGAAUUUGCUUGGGAAUCCUAAUUUAGCUAGCAACACCUUCAUAACCCCCCACUCAAUUGAGUCAUAAGCCUUUCUAAGGUCCACUUUCAUGACACAUAUAGGUGAUAAUCCUUUCCUGGUAUACCACUUAAAGAUUUCAUAGCUGAACAAGAUAUUGUCUACUAUAUUCCUACCUUCCACAAAAGCUGAUUGAGAAGGGUUUAUAAUAUGCUGGGCAAUACCUUUGAUUCUGCCUUUCAGUAUUUUAGUGAGGAUUUUGUAGACUGUGGUGCAGUAAGCUAUGGGUCUAUAAUCCCUCACAUAAGAUGGAUUGGUUACUUUGGGGAUUAAGGUCACAACUGUAUGACUGAAAGCUUUCAAAAGUUUUCUAGAUUCCAAAAAUUCUUUUACAGCAUCAAUUACAUCCUGUUUUAUCAUGGGCCAAUUUUGUGUAAAAAAUUCAGCUGGAUAGCCAUCAAUACAUGGGGAUUUAUUAUGCGGCAUGAUUUUUAUGGCUAUAUAGAUUUCUUGCUCAGUAAUAAGAGUGAUUAGCUUGCAUUUCUAAUCAUGUGAUAGGCAGGGUCCACUUCUGAUAACUUCAAUAUUUGGACAGGGUAGUUCUGUUGCUGCUGAGCUAAUGAGGUUUGAGAAAAAUUUGGUGAAUUCAGCUUCAACUUGCAUUGGAUCCUCUAACUUAUUUCCCUGUUCAUCAUAUAUACUAGUAAUGGCACUCUUGCUUGUCCGAAGCUUUAGCUGCGCAUGGAAAUACUUUGUUUGCAUCCCCCCAUCUAUCCAAUUGACUCUAGCUUUCUACCUGUAAACUAGCUACUCAACUUUACUCUAUUUCUUGAGUUCACUCAGCCAGAUUAUUUCUUGCUUAAUUAAAUUGGGACAUAGAGGCUUUCUAAUAAGCAUGCCUUGUGUAAUCUCAAGACCUUGUAUAGCCUGCUGGAUUCUUUGACUGUAGGAAGCUAAAUAGGUGUUUAAGUUUCUUAAACUAUUCUGCAAUGCCUUUAGUUUAUACCAAAGGUUGAACAUUUUAGUACCUUGACAUGGAGUGUUCCAUGUAUCUUCUAAAAUCCUUCUAAAGUCGGGAUGUUUCAACACUAUCAUGUAUAAUUUGAAAGGUUUUGGACCUGUUGGUGGCUGAGAGCACAUACUGAUAACUAUGGGAGAAUGAUCAGAUAUUUCAGGAUUCAAAAACUCUGCCUCUACAUGACUAUAAGUAGAUACCCAGUGAGAGUUACUGAAAGCCUAAUCUAUUUUAGAAUAUACUCUACUACUGGGGUCCUUCCUAUUGUAGAAGGUGAAAUGACAUCCUUUAGCUUUGAGCAUUGUAAGAGAGAGGGUAGUGAGACACCCUUGGAAGUUGUCAACUUCACUAGGCAACACAGGUGAGCCAAUUCUAUCUUCUGUUGUCAAAAUAUUGUUGAAAUCACCACUAAGCAGCCAGGGAUUCUAAAUAUUUUGUUCUAGCUGAAGUAAGUCUUACCAUAGUACUUCCCUAUGUUGAUGUUCAUUCCUAGCAUAUAUUAUAGUCUGGUAAAACUGGGAGUGGUUUGCAUGGAGCUCGACCUUACAAUGUAUAAAUUGUUCAUGAAGGAGCUCCACCUGCAAGUUUAUGUUUGCCUUCCAGAAAAUCCACACCCUGCCAUUGUAGGCGAUAGGGUAGUUGCAUCUAUGAUUCCACCACUUGCAACUUUUGCUAUUACCUUUUUUGCUUUAUUUUCUUUCACUCUAGUGUCCAACACACCCAUUAUUUUCACUUUAUUCUUCUGCAGAAAAAGUUUUAACUCUUUCUGUUUUGAGGACUGAUUCAGUCCUCUUAUGUUUCACGUUGAUAGUAUCAUGGAGAUUUGUGUUGCAUUUCCUCAUUUUCAAUAUUACUAGUACCUUCCUGCAUUAGCAUUGCAAAUCUAUUUACUAUGUUGCUGGAACUAGUUGUUGUCUGUUUUCCUUUUAUGCUUCUAGCCAUUGUGAUCCCUUGUUUACAUAUAAUUUCAUUGUCCCUUCCCUGUUGAACCUCUGAUGAAGCCUAUGUCUCUCCUGAAUCUUCUUUCCUUACUUGCGCUUCUUUCAUUGUCCAUUCCUGCCUAAUCCGUGGGCGUUGCCUUUCCUUUUUGUUCCUUCUUCUUCGCCUGUUCUUCACAUCCUGGAAUUCACCCUCCGUUGUGGAGUUUUCUUUCAUCCAACAAUCUUCUGUUGUGUGCCCAAGCUGUAAGCAUUCACUGCAAAAUUUAGGUCGCCAGUCAUACUCAACAUAUUAGUAAAGCUUCCCCCUGGAGUGUUUAAUUCAAUAGUAUCUGGGAGCGGUGUGACAAUAUCCACUUCAACCAGGAUUCUAGCAUAGGAGAUACGACUUAUAUUUGCAGUGAAUUGGUCCGUGUAUAAUGGUCGUCCCACUGCACUCGCUACUUUGCCGAGAGCUUCAGUCGACCAGUAGCCCACCGGAAGACCUGGGAGAGUUACGCAUAACAGAAUUGUAGUAAUACAAUCUUGGUUGAAAAUGAAGUUCACCUGCUAGUCAUGAAGUACGAAAGUCUUGUUGUGAAAAGUAUACAAGCCAGCCUGCUUCACCUUUUCACAGUCCUCCAUAGAAUCAAAUCGAAAGAUGAAAUAACCUUCAUCAUCCUGUAGUACCUGAUGUUUUUGGGAAAAACCCCAUGCCUGCGAGAUGUAGCUUUCCAUUGUCCUCAGGUAUGGCGUAUCUCCUAUAACGUAGCCAAUAAUGGCCAAUAAUGUCUCUUUUCUUUCUUGGGUUAAUUUCAACUGUCUACGUGACAUGUUUAAGACAAUAAGAUCAACAAAUAUUUUGAUCCUUUCUACAUAUUUUUAGUUUAAGACCAUAAAAUUAAAAAAUAUUCGUUACUUUUUCUAUAACUUUGUGUUAAGUCAAAAUCAAAUAAAUAAGUUAAAACAAAGGGAAUAAAAGCCUUAUAAGUUAAAAAUAAUAAUUUUUCUUAUGAUAUAUUUUAGUCUUUCUUUUAAUUUUCAAACAAAUGCACACACGAAAAAUUUCUCCUUUUUAUUUUAUUGAAAGUGUUUGAAUGAAAGUCUUUAACGAUCUAAAUUGAUUUUUGCCUUAUGUAUAAUUAAUUUCAUUAUUUUUUC